UACGUAGGGGGCAAGCGUUGUCCGGAUUUAUUGGGCGUAAAGAGCGUGUAGGCGGCUUUACAGGUCCGUUGUGAAAACUCGAGGCUCAACCUCGAGACGCCGGUGGAAACCGUAAGGCUAGAGUCCGGAAGAGGAGAGUGGAAUUCCUGGUGUAGCGGUGAAAUGCGUAGAUAUCUGGAGGAACACCGGUGGCGAAGGCGGCAUCCUGGACCGGCAUUGACGCUGAGGCGCGAAAGCCAGGGGAGCAAACGGG
rnacentral:rRNA from 1 species